rnacentral:snRNA from 1 species
CUGAUGUACUAAAAUUGGAAUGAUACAGAGAUUAGCACAGCCCCUGUGAAAGGAUGGCAUGCAAAUCUGUGAAGCGUAAACUGAUAAA